rnacentral:lncRNA from 1 species
UAAUUAAUAAUAAUAAAAUAUAAUCAGAGUAGACAGUUAAUAAUAAAAGAUAAGUAAUCAUAAUUUUAAAAAGAUCGUAAUUUUACUUCUGAUAAUUCAUUGGAAUGAAAUUUUUUAAAGUUGUAAAUAAGAAUGAAAUAAUGGUCAUUUGCUGACCAGAGGUAGGGGAAAUAUUCCCAGGCGCUUACGUAAUAUUUAAAAGGUCCUAUAUCCUCCAAAAAACCUGGCAUUAUCUUAUGAUCAUAUUGCACAAAAGUACUUUAGAGUAAGUUUUUAAAAAUAGCAGUGUAACGUUGAUUUUAAUGCCAGCACCAACCUUCACCACAAAGCCCAAUAAGAAAUGAUGAACAAAUAAACCAUGCAAGCCUAAAACAAUGUUAAAUAUAACUAUGCUAGUUCACAUGUUAUGAGCUUAAAACUUUUUUAUAUCCAGAUAGGAUCUGCCUUUACAAAACAAGGCUGGCUGCCUUUACAAAACAAGGCUGGAAAAAGCUAUCGAGGAUGAAUCAUCGCUCGCAAAUCAAGAGUUGAAGGCGUUAUCAAACUAAGGAUAAUCAGGAAACAUCAAUAAACAGACAACAAGACUGAAAGACUGAACAAGACUGGGAAAGACUGAAACAAGAACAAUGAAGAGGAAUUGUCGAUUUCAAGAGGAAUCUUUCUACAUUUCUACAUUCUUUUAUGGUCUAAGUUACUACACCUGUCAUCAUUUUAAAAAGUUCUUCGUGGAUAUAGUGAAAGAAAAUGUUACCUAUGUUUUGUGGAAUAUAAUUUGUGGAAUUCAAAAGAUUAUCUCUGAAAUUAGGAAUUAGUUCUGAAAAAGUGUCAUCAACAGGAUUGCAACAUAUGAUCUCAUGAUCUCGUUAAUAUUCUUCUGGAAAAAAGAAUGAAAACUGACCAUUCAGAUGCUGCAGUAUCAUUGAAUCUAGACCCAGAAUCUGAAGUUAGCUUGAUGACGAACUAUAAAAAUAUAAAUAUGAAGUUUUGGCUUGGUUCCACAAAUACUUAUGUAGGUAUUGCACAUGGUUAUGAUUUCAACACAUUUUAAGAUCAUUAUAAUAAUUCUGUAUUUUAUGCCAGAUAAUAAAUUAUAUUAAUUGAA